CCAGAACGUCCCUGUGGAUUAACGCAGCCGUCGCUGCCUCUGUGGAGAAGGCACUCUCCAAGGUACGAGCUACAGCUCCAGACGUACCAAAACCUACCCGCAGGCCACCACGCCAUGAGUCGGAUUCUGAUAUGUCCGACUAUCAGACCAGGGAUGACUCCCGCCCUAAGAAACGCCAUGAGAAAGGCGAAGAUUAUGCACCCAAACCACCCAAGGGUAAGGCACCUGCCAAGCGCAAG